GACCUAAACCCUCACCAGAGUAACAAUUGGAGGGCAAGUCUGGUGCCAGCAGCCGCGGUAAUUCCAGCUCCAAUAGCGUAUAUUAAACUUGUUGCAGUUAAAAAGCUCGUAGUUGAAUUUCUGCGUUAUCGAGUUAUUGACUCUUGUCUUUAAUCGAUUUCGCUUUUGGGAUUUAUCCCUUUUUACUUUGAGAAAAUUAGAGUGUUUCAAGCAGACUUUUGUCUUGAAUACUUCAGCAUGGAAUAAUAGAGUAGGACUUUGGUUCUAUUUUGUUGGUUUUUGAACCUUAGUAAUGGUUAAUAGGAACGGUUGGGGGCAUUCGUAUUUAACUGUCAGAGGUGAAAUUCUUAGAUUUGUUAAAGACGAACUACUGCGAAAGCAUUUGCCAAGGACGUUUCCAUUAAUCAAGAACGAAAGUUAGGGGAU
rnacentral:rRNA from 1 species